UCCGUAGGCGGGCGUCUAAGUCAGUGGUGGAAUCUUACAGCUCAACUGUAAAAUUGCCAUUGAUACUGGAUGUCUUGAAUUAGUGUGAAGUGGUUAGAAUGUGUAGUGUAGCGGUGAAAUGCAUAGAUAUUACACAGAAUACCAAUUGCGAAGGCAGAUCACUAACACUAUAUUGACGCUGAGGGACGAAAGCGUGGGUAGCGAACAGGAUUAGAUACCCUGGUAGUCC
rnacentral:rRNA from 1 species